GGCGUGCUUAACACAUGCAAGUCGAACGAGAAUCCGCGGAUCGAGGAUUCGUCCAAGUGAAGUAGAGGACAGUGGCGGACGGGUGAGUAACGCGUGAGGAACCUGCCUUUCAGAGGGGGACAACAGUUGGAAACGACUGCUAAUACCGCAUGACACAUUGGGGUCGCAUGGCCCUGAUGUCAAAGAUUUAUCGCUGAAAGAUGGCCUCGCGUCUGAUUAGCUAGUUGGUGAGGUAACGGCCCACCAAGGCGACGAUCAGUAGCCGGACUGAGAGGUUGACCGGCCACAUUGGGACUGAGAUACGGCCCAGACUCCUACGGGAGGCAGCAGUGGGGAAUAUUGGGCAAUGGGCGCAAGCCUGACCCAGCAACGCCGCGUGAAGGAAGAAGGCUUUCGGGUUGUAAACUUCUUUUGUCAGGGACGAGUAGAAGACGGUACCUGACGAAUAAGCCACGGCUAACUACGUGCCAGCAGCCGCGGUAAUACGUAGGUGGCAAGCGUUGUCCGGAUUUACUGGGUGUAAAGGGCGUGUAGCCGGGAAGGGCAAGUCAGAUGUGAAAUCCACGGGCUCAACUCGUGAACUGCAUUUGAAACUGUUUUUCUUGAGUAUCGGAGAGGCAAUCGGAAUUCCUAGCGUAGCGGUGAAAUGCGUAGAUAUUAGGAGGAACACCAGUGGCGAAGGCGGAUUGCUGG
rnacentral:rRNA from 1 species